rnacentral:rRNA from 1 species
GCCAUGCUAGUCGCACGAGUUCAGACUCGUGGCGAAUAGCUCAGUAACACGUGGCCAAACUACCCUUCGGAGCAAAAUACCCUCGGGAAACUGAGGCUAAUAGUGUAUACCACAGUCCACCUGGAAUGAGGACUGUGCCAAACGCUCCGGCGCCGAAGGAUGUGGCUGCGGCCGAUUAGGUAGACGGUGGGGUAACGGCCCACCGUGCCAAUAAUCGGUACGGGUCAUGAGAGUGAGAACCCGGAGACGGAAUCUGAGACAAGAUUCCGGGCCCUACGGGGCGCAGCAGGCGCGAAACCUUUACACUGCACGACAGUGCGAUAAGGGAAUCCCAAGUGCGCAGGCAUAGAGCCUGCGCUUUUGUCCACCGUAGGGAGGUGGACGAAUAAGGGCUGGGCAAGACCGGUGCCAGCCGCCGCGGUAAUACCGGCAGCCCAAGUGAUGGCCGAUCUUAUUGGGCCUAAAGCGUCCGUAGCUGGCCGCACAAGUCCAUCGGAAAAUCCACCCGCUCAACGGGUGGGCGUCCGGUGGAAACUGUGUGGCUUGGGACCGGAAGGCGCGACGGGUACGUCCGGGGUAGGAGUGAAAUCCUGUAAUCCUGGACGGACCGCCGAUGGCGAAAGCACGUCGCGAGGACGGAUCCGACAGUGAGGGACGAAAGCUAGGGUCUCGAACCGGAUUAGAUACCCGGGUAGUCCUAGCCGUAAACAAUGCCUGUUAGGUGUGGCUCCCACUACGAGUGGGUGCUGUGCCGUAGGGAAGCCGCUAAACAGGCCGCCUG